rnacentral:tRNA from 1 species
GCCAAGGUGGCGUAGCCCGGGAACGCACUAGACUGAAGAUCUAGGUAUCGGGGAAUUCGAUGUCGAUUCGCAUCGGAUCUGAAAGUUCAAAUCCCUCUCUUGGCA